rnacentral:misc_RNA from 1 species
GUGAAUCAUCGAAUUUUUGAACGCAAAUUGCGCCUUUUUCGGAAGGCAUGUCUGUUUGAGGGCCCCCUUUAACAAAUACUGUGCAUUUCGUGUGCACCCGUUGCUGAGCUUUCCAAUAUUAUGUAUUAUUAUUUUUUGUUGUGCAUCAUAAACAGCGCGAUGCUUUUUUUCAGUUCGCGUGUAGUAAAAUUUUUUCUUGCUUCGUUUGUGAAAAGCGUGUUCGCUCAAUGGGUGUGGCGAUUCU